rnacentral:lncRNA from 1 species
CAAUUCUGAUCGAUCGCGUUCUUCAUCCUCGAAUGUUAUGAGAAGCAUGGAAGAGAUCUUCUCGGCGUUGGAUGCGACGAUGUACCGCCCAGAGUCGGCGUGGAUCAGCGAGGCCUCCGCCCGCGAGAACGCGGCCCUCACCCGGGCCCUCCAGAUCUCCCUCUCCGACACCACCACCACCACCUCCUCCUCCGCCUCCGCCGACACUCUCUCCUCCCCUCUCCUCCUCUUCAACCAACAGUUCAUUCCCCCCUCUUCCUCCUCCUCCUCCUCCUCCUCCGC